UGGCUGUGACGACAGAUUACAUUUCUCGAUUCUGAUAAAUCUUUGAUUUGUCGACCUCUGUGAUGAUCUAUUUAUGCGUGUCUGAGCCAA